rnacentral:rRNA from 1 species
AGGACGAACGCUGGCGGCGUGCCUAACACAUGCAAGUCGAGCGAGGAGAUCCUUCGGGAUGAUCCUAGCGGCGGACGGGUGAGUAACACGUGGGCAACCUGCCUCAUAGAGAGGAAUAGCCUUCCGAAAGGGAGAUUAAUACCUCAUAACAUUGCAGUUUCGCAUGGAACAGCAAUUAAAGGAGUAAUCCGCUAUGAGAUGGGCCCGCGGCGCAUUAGCUAGUUGGUGAGGUAACGGCUCACCAAGGCGACGAUGCGUAGCCGACCUGAGAGGGUGAUCGGCCACAUUGGGACUGAGACACGGCCCAGACUCCUACGGGAGGCAGCAGUAGGGAAUUUUCAGCAAUGGGGGAAACCCUGACCGAGCAACGCCGCGUGAAUGAAAAGACGUAUUUCGGUAUGUAAAGUUCUUUUAUUAAGGAAGAAUAUCACGGAUAGGAAAUGAUCUGUGAGUGACGGUACUUAAUGAAUAAGCCCCGGCUAACUACGUGCCAGCCGCUGC